CACGGAGCCUGACGACGAGAAGCGUUUGUGACAGAGGCCGUGAUGAGGGGCGAAGGGUCUCCGCCGUAUUUUGUGUGUGCAUUGAGCGUCCACACUGGGCCCGGUCAAUUGAUCCGAACGUGUUGGCCGUGCAGUGAAGCAGAUUAACAGACAUGCGACACAUAAGCGUUAGUGACCGGAGAGCGUAAUGGACGCACUGAUCAGACGCGAUCAACUUCCAGGACAUUUACUGUGAAAUUCGACACCAGGAGACAAAUCCUCCCUGAGUCCAACGUCCCACCCAGUCCUCUCCCUCCCGUCCUGCUUUCUCACUUCACCUCAGCCAGAGGGAAGGACACAAGCUUUCGGUGUCUGAAGUGCGAGCAAGGAGACUCAUCUCUCUGUCUUUGAGAAGAAGUCACUUACCAAGGACAUGCCACCCAUUUUCAAUUUUAAGGGAAUUCACUACCUGAAUAUUUAUAGUCACUCAUCGAUUCAGAUGUGGGUCUUGUCUUUUCAGGAGGGGCUAUGUAUUUCCAGUGAAGGAUGUUUUGUUAUGACUUUUGGAGUCCGAGGGUGCUUGUGCCAUCAUUUCAUUGGACAGUGAAGAUGUUUAGUUCAGGAUUUUGCAUUUCACCUAUAGUAGUACUACACUAGUAAGUAUACGUGCUCAGAGGGGGAGUGUCUAUCUACUGUAGGUGAGCUCUAGACAACACCUAGCUGAAGGAAAGAGUAAAACAUAAACAGUGUUAGCUGUGUGUGUGUUAUCUCAUCACAACACAUUUCUGAGGAUCUUGAAAGUGUUCUUUGUGUCGUUUGACAAAAUUAGUUGUAGAACAAUAACAGGUUUGGUCCACCAGCAUCACCAGGUCAUUUUCUAAGCACUGAAUAUUUUGAAUGUGAAAGCCCCUGUAAAGCUCAAUACAAAAUGUAAUACGUGACAAUGUGAUCUCGUCCUUGUACCACAGAGACUGUUGAAAUUGCGGGUCUAUAAAUUAACUCAGUGGGAGGAUGAGGAGGGGUCUGAUGGUCAGCGCUGAGAGGCGCAAUUUAUGGCUAGAAGAGACGAGUAGAGGAGAAUUAGAGUAGCGUUCAGGC